AUUAUUAUUUUUUUAAGUUAGAACAGUUUUUGUUCAGUUUGGUUCCGUUUGGUUCCUUUAUUAUUAAACAAGUGUUUUAGUUCGACUUCAUACGUUUAUAUAACACAAUCAGAUGACAUUCUGAACCAAUUUUUUUUAUUGACCUAUAUUUAGGUUUUGCAAAUGUGGCUACGUCCAGGUUCCCUAUUAUCUGUCUACCAGGAUUCGAAAGUCUUCGUGAAGUCGACCAACUAAGUAUAGAAAGGAACCAUUCAACUACUGUUCUUGUUCGGGUGAACCCUUCUACACAUACAACGUAAAAAACAACUUGAAUCAAAACCUUUUUUCGAUUUCACCCAUGAACGUUGCCUGGGCUUAGUACGACAUGCAACUCUUCGAUAAUUCUGGAAGUCCUGUAGUCCUUUUCCAACGGCACCAAGAGUGUUGCUAUGGCUUAGUAUGUAUCUCCAAGAGACAAAAUUUUCUCAAACUUUAUUAUUAUGUUACCCAAACUUAGAGAAUUGAAGUCUUUCACACCUGCGGUACUCUCAUAGGUACCGUAGAACUGGACGGCGCAUCUUUUCAGUAUGCUUACAGCGUUGGAAUGGCCAAACUGUUUUCAAUGUGAAGAGAAGUACUUUUGAACUUUUUCCAAAGGAUGUUGACUUCACUAUUAAUUCGACUGAUGAAUCUCGAGAGGCUGGAAAAAUUACUAGGGUGUGGACAGGUUGGAUGAGUGAGCAACAUUUGUACAAAAUUAUUUUUCCGAGAGAUUUAGUGGCCGAAAUGAAGGUAACUUUGUUGGCCGCUUGGUACAUGAUUGAAGAAGUAUAUCAGCGUAACCGGCGCAAAUGAGUGAACUGACACAGUGUUGCUAGGAUUAUGUUUCCGUUCACUCUUGAACCUACACUGAG